rnacentral:rRNA from 1 species
CCUACGGGAGGCAGCAGUUAGGAAUAUUGGGCAAUGGAGGAAACUCUGACCCAGCAACGCCGCGUGAAGGAAGAAGGUUUUCGGAUUGUAAACUUCUGAUCUGUGGGACGAAGAAAGUGACGGUACCACAGGAGAAAGCCACGGCUAACUACGUGCCAGCAGCCGCGGUAAUACGGAGGAUUCAAGCGUUAUCCGGAUUUAUUGGGUUUAAAGGGUGCGUAGGCGGUCGGAUAAGUUAGAGGUGAAAUCCCGAGGCUCAACUUCGGAAUUGCCUCUGAUACUGUUCGGCUAGAGAGUAGUUGCGUGAGGCGGAAUGUAUGGUGUAGCGGUGAAAUGCUUAGAGAUAAUACAGAACACAGAUUGCAAGGGCAGCUUACCAAGCUACUUCUGCCGUUGAGUCACGAAAGCGUGGGGAGCAAACAGGAUUAGAUACCCUUGAAGUC